rnacentral:lncRNA from 1 species
CUCGGCAUGACGGGUGAAUACAAAACGGUUCAUAUGCACAGACCUCAUAGUUUGCAGCAUUUUAAGGGAGGUCAAAGGUGUUUCGCACGCAGCAGCUAGUGCAGCUUUGCCCCGAACACUGUAUACACGAGUGGCCUACAUAAAGGCAUACCUUUAUACAACGGACUAUUAGGCUCUCACAGUUUUGCAUGCGUAUACAUGGUAACCUAUAGCCUACAGGCCUAUAGACCAUGCUGUAUACAACAGAUCGCCUAUAGGUGUGAUGUAUACGAUCAUAUACGCGAAAUCACCUAUACUCCACAUAUUCCGCGGUCCUACCUAUUAGGCGAUGGCCCGGCCUAUAGGUGACUUCCAAUUUUACUGACGGUUACACAGAUCGGGCUUAGCUGCCCGCCUGUAAUAUUAUUGGUCUUAAGAUUGUUGGUCAAUACGCUCACGAAGAGUUGCUUCGAGAGCCAAACGACAAAGGUUUGGUCUCUUCACACUCUUCGCACUCACACUUAUGGCGCACUUACCCGCACCGGAACGAGGCCCUAUCCUAGAUGCGCAGCGUUCAUCCGACUAACGACAGAUGAACAACAACGGAAUAUCCUAAAACAACAACGGAAAGCACCUUAUGAGCUGGUCCAGCGGUGCGCUAAAUCUCAACUGACUCAAGACGCGAUUCGUCUAACUACCUUCGGUUGGAUCAACCACCUGCGAACUCGAUCGUGGCACAUAAUGUGUACGCUUCAGAUGUUUUGGCGUGACAGCGACACUCCAGUUGCAUCUUGUGCAGCUGGAUUCUUGUUCGAUCACUGCCAUGUCACUAGAGGAGACUGCUUCUAAGUAUUCGUGUACGACAUGUUAGUUGGCUGGUGGCUGGCAGAAUUCACGCCCUGACUUCUGCUCCCGGAGGUUCCGGGUUCAAAUCCGCCUGCCAACCUCUC